UAGCCAAGGAUGACUUGCCUGCUCCAUACUAGGGUUGCUGGUAUACAAGUGCAGCCCUCGAGAGUAGGUUUCAGGCAGUCACCUUGGCUAA
rnacentral:pre_miRNA from 1 species